CAGGAAAUAGUUUAGUUUAGAAUCC
rnacentral:tRNA from 1 species